rnacentral:rRNA from 1 species
GUAGGUGGCAAGCGUUGUCCGGAAUUAUUGGGCGUAAAGCGCGCGCAGGCGGUUCUUUAAGUCUGAUGUGAAAGCCCACGGCUCAACCGUGGAGGGUCAUUGGAAACUGGAGAACUUGAGUACAGAAGAGGAAAGCGGAAUUCCACGUGUAGCGGUGAAAUGCGUAGAGAUGUGGAGGAACACCAGUGGCGAAGGCGGCUUUCUGGUCUGUAACUGACGCUGAGGCGCGAAAGCGUGGGGAGCAAACAGGAUUAGAUACCCUGGUAGUCCACGCCGUAACGAUGAGUGCUAAGUGUUAGGGGGGUUUCCGCCCCCCUUAGUGCUGCAGCUAACGCAUUAAGCACUCCGCCUGGGAGUACGGCCGCAAGGCUG